UGACUUCUCCCUGAGACUGUAAGUCUCCUGAAGGAACGUUGAAGACGACGACGUUGAUAGGCCGGGUGUGUAAGCGCAGCGAUGCGUUGAGCUAACCGGUACUAAUGAACCGUGAGGCUUAACCUUACAACGCCAAAGAAGU
rnacentral:rRNA from 1 species